rnacentral:rRNA from 1 species
CUAUCAGCUUGUUGGUGAGGUAACGGCUCACCAAGGCUAUGACGGGUAGCUGGUCUGAGAGGACGAUCAGCCUCACUGGAACUGAGACACGGUCCAGACACCUACGGGUGGCAGCAGUCGAGAAUCAUUCACAAUGGGCGAAAGCCUGAUGGUGCAACGCCGCGUGGAGGAUGACGGCCCUAGGGUUGUAAACUCCUGUCAUCUGGGAGUAAUCCUUGUUCGUUAAUAGCGUGCAAGGUUGAUAGU